rnacentral:rRNA from 1 species
GACGAACGCUGGCGGCGUGCCUAAUACAUGCAAGUCGAGCGGACAGAAGGGAGCUUGCUCCCGGAAGUCAGCGGCGGACGGGUGAGUAACACGUGGGCAACCUGCCUGUAAGACUGGGAUAACUUCGGGAAACCGGAGCUAAUACCGGAUAGGUUCUUCCCCCGCAUGGGGGAAGCUGGAAAGACGGUUUCGGCUGUCACUUACAGAUGGGCCCGCGGCGCAUUAGCUAGUUGGUGGGGUAAUGGCCCACCAAGGCGACGAUGCGUAGCCGACCUGAGAGGGUGAUCGGCCACACUGGGACUGAGACACGGCCCAGACUCCUACGGGAGGCAGCAGUAGGGAAUCUUCCGCAAUGGACGAAAGUCUGACGGAGCAACGCCGCGUGAGCGAAGAAGGCCUUCGGGUCGUAAAGCUCUGUUGUCAGGGAAGAACAAGUGCCAGAGUAACUGCUGGCACCUUGACGGUACCUGACCAGAAAGCCACGGCUAACUACGUGCCAGCAGCCGCAGUAAAAC